GAAGAAAAAAACAUCAAUGAACGAUAAGAUCAGGAAACGACUGAACGCCUAAACCCUAAAAACCCUUGCACUCUUCAGUUGGCGCAACACUUUGAAGCCGCCACAGCCGUUCUCUUUCAUAGUCCUUCACCGUCACCGUCACCGUCAUCGUCGUCGUCAUUCACGUUUACCUAGUCAUUGUUGUCGUUCUCCUUUACCUCACAGUCGCUGCAGCUCUAUUGUUCACGCCAUUGCUCUGUCGACCUGUCGUUUACCACCUUGAAGCCCUAAAUUGCUUCGCUAUUAAAUUGCUUCGCCAUUUAGUGUGCCGGCAGGUUAUAAUCAGAAAAGGGGAAGGGAGAAUCCAACAAAUUUUCAACCAAGGAUCUGGUCAAGCUUUGCUGGUUACUUCAUGCCCUAUUUCCCCAUUGUACCAUAAAAUCUCAAAGCAAAGAAAUAUGUCAGAAGCAGAAAAGAAGACUGACACCCAAGAGGACCUUGACCGCAAGAAGAAGAAAGAAGAAAAGGCUAG
rnacentral:misc_RNA from 1 species